rnacentral:rRNA from 1 species
AUUGAACGCUGGCGGCAUGCCUUACACAUGCAAGUCGAACGGUAACGCGGGGCAACCUGGCGACGAGUGGCGAACGGGUGAGUAAUGCAUCGGAACGUGCCCAGAAGUGGGGGAUAGCCCGGCGAAAGCCGGAUUAAUACCGCAUGAGACCUGAGGGUGAAAGCGGGGGAUCGCAAGACCUCGCGCUUUUGGAGCGGCAGAUGUCGGAUUAGCUAGUUGGUGGGGUAAAGGCCUACCAAGGCGACGAUCUGUAGCUGGUCUGAGAGGACGACCAGCCACACUGGGACUGAGACACGGCCCAGACUCCUACGGGAGGCAGCAGUGGGGAAUUUUGGACAAUGGGCGCAAGCCUGAUCCAGCCAUGCCGCGUGCGGGAAGAAGGCCUUCGGGUUGUAAACCGCUUUUGUCAGGGAAGAAACGCUCUGGGCUAAUACCCUGGGGUAAUGACGGUACCUGAAGAAUAAGCACCGGCUAACUACGUGCCAGCCGCCGCCGUAA